rnacentral:tRNA from 1 species
UUUUCAAAUAGUUUAAAAAAAACGUUACUCUUUCAAGGUAGAAAUCCACUUAUUAAGUUUGAUGAA